GGGACACGUGGUAUCCUGUCUGAAUAUGGGGGGACCAUCCUCCAAGGCUAAAUACUCCUGACUGACCGAUAGUGAACCAGUACCGUGAGGGAAAGGCGAAAAGAACCCCGGCGAGGGGAGUGAAAAAGAACCUGAAACCGUGUACGUACAAGCAGUGGGAGCACGCUUAGGCGUGUGACUGCGUACCUUUUGUAUAAUGGGUCAGCGACUUAUAUUCUGUAGCAAGGUUAACCGAAUAGGGGAGCCGAAGGGAAACCGAGUCUUAACUGGGCGUUAAGUUGCAGGGUAUAGACCCGAAACCCGGUGAUCUAGCCAUGGGCAGGUUGAAGGUUGGGUAACACUAACUGGAGGACCGAACCGACUAAUGUUGAAAAAUUAGCGGAUGACUUGUGGCUGGGGGUGAAAGGCCAAUCAAACCGGGAGAUAGCUGGUUCUCCCCGAAAGCUAUUUAGGUAGCGCCUCGUGAAUUCAUCUCCGGGGGUAGAGCACUGUUUCGGCAAGGGGGUCAUCCCGACUUACCAACCCGAUGCAAACUGCGAAUACCGGAGAAUGUUAUCACGGGAGACACACGGCGGGUGCUAACGUCCGUCGUGAAGAGGGAAACAACCCAGACCGCCAGCUAAGGUCCCAAAGUCAUGGUUAAGUGGGAAACGAUGUGGGAAGGCCCAGACAGCCAGGAUGUUGGCUUAGAAGCAGCCAUCAUUUAAAGAAAGCGUAAUAGCUCACUGGUCGAGUCGGCCUGCGCGGAAGAUGUAACGGGGCUAAACCAUGCACCGAAGCUGCGGCAGCGACACUAUGUGUUGUUGGGUAGGGGAGCGUUCUGUAAGCCUGUGAAGGUG
rnacentral:rRNA from 1 species